CAAGGCAUUUCUGAUGCCCUUCUUCAAAAAGUGGAACGUUGAAGCCGAAUCUCGUGCGGGUUGAAUGUUGAGAUUCCCAAAAGGAAGCGAUGCAGAGAGUAGUUUUCUCCAACUUCGGCUCUCGAGGCCUCCUGGGAGGGCUUCUCGCAGAACCACGUUGCCUCCAGCCAUCCCUCCGUCCUUCUGAUUAGCUUCAGAGCCUGGGCAAGGUAUGAGCGUGUGACCAUCUUGCAAGAAGGGAACCGAGGAUCGCAAACACCUGAUUUUCUUCAGGCCACACCGCCAGUUGGCGGCAGGGCUGGGCAGGGCUCGGCAGGGGUACGCCAUGCUCCCCGAGGUCUCCUAGAAUGAUGGGAAGACUCACGUCGCCUACUGUGGUGCCUCCAGCUACAGGAUGGCCGAAGGCCCUGCGGAUUGCCCGUGGCACGUUUCUCUUCGGGGGCCAGGUGUGCAACCAGGCCCCGCGCCGCCGUGCUGGCAGCUGAGGGUCUGAGAGGACUUUGCUUGGGCCACGGGACAAAGAAGUGUCAGACGUCCGAGUGGGACCUGGAGAGCCGGGACCCGGAACCCGUGCUCCUGAGCGGGAUGGAGUGGAGGUUUCCCGGCACGCAGAGGUGCUGCCUGGUCCGUGUCCUCCCGGGCGGGGCGGCGUCUUGUCCGAGGUGCCCCUGAGGCCACAGCAGUGCGCAGCCACCACUGCUUUGUGGUCUCCUGUCAGAAAGGACGUGACGGCCCCGGGGGUUGCGUGCAGGUAGAGGCCUGGUGAGUGAAGGUCUCGUGGGUCAGUCGUACGCCCGGAAGCCUGCAUCCGAGUGGAUGUUGCAAGCGGCAGCUCCUCCACGUUGGCGUCUGGCCCGAGACCGCCGCGGCCGAAGGCAGAAGCUGGGGACUUGCGCGUGUGAAGUGAGGGGACGCACGGUCUUGCCAGAGGACCUGGCCACGGGCGGUGCUGCAGCCAUCGGCCCUUCGCUCAGCGAGGCGAUGUCGACGGGCUGAGAGCCUGUGCCGGCCGUUGCCGG